rnacentral:rRNA from 1 species
UACAGAGGUCCCAAGCGUUUGUUCGGAUUCACUGGGCGUAAAGGGUGCGUAGGUGGCCAGGUAAGUUUGGUGUGAAAGCUCGGAGCUUAACUCCGAAAAGUCAUUGAAUACUAUCUGGCUGGAGGGUCGGAGGGGAGACUGGAAUUCUCGGUGUAGCAGUGAAAUGCGUAGAUAUCGAGAGGAACACCAGUGGCGAAGGCGAGUCUCUGGACGACUCCUGACACUGAGGCACGAAAGCAGGUGGGAGACGAAUAGGAUUACA